rnacentral:rRNA from 1 species
UACGUAGGUGGCAAGCGUUGUCCGGAAUUAUUGGGCGUAAAGCGCGCGCAGGUGGUUUCUUAAGUCUGAUGUGAAAGCCCACGGCUCAACCGUGGAGGGUCAUUGGAAACUGGGGAACUUGAGUGCAGGAGAGAAGAGUGGAAUUCCACGUGUAGCGGUUGAAAUGCGUAGAGAUGUGGAGGAACACCAGUGGCGAAGGCGACUCUUGGCCGUGUAACUGACACUUGAGCGCGAAAGCGUGGGAGCAAACAGG